GUUCCGUUUCGCUUUGGCCGAUGCUUGCCGGAAGUACACUUAUUUACCGGAUGUUGUCGUCUCCUCCGCAGGCCCUUCGAUCUUCGACUACGUGCGCGGCUCGACACAAAUGAAAAACAAUAAAAAAAAAAAAAUUUAAAAAAAAUAGGAGCCGAAUUUAAGACCUCGGUGUCGUACCGACCCGAGGUAAUAAUAGUAUAAU